rnacentral:rRNA from 1 species
AUUCCCUAGUACGGCGAGUGAAGCGGGAAGAGCUCAAAUUUGAAAUCUGGUGGCCUCAGGUCAUCCGAGUUGUAAUCUAUAGAAGUGUUUUCCGUGCUGGCUCAUGUACAAGUCCCUUGGAACAGGGCGUCAUAGAGGGUGAGAAUCCCGUCCUUGACAUGAACUACCAGUGCUCUGUGAUACAUUUUCAACGAGUCGAGUUGUUUGGGAAUGCAGCUCAAAAUGGGUGGUAAAUUCCAUCUAAAGCUAAAUAUUGGCGAGAGACCGAUAGCGAACAAGUACCGUGAGGGAAAGAUGAAAAGCACUUUGGAAAGAGAGUUAAACAGUAUGUGAAAUUGUUGAAAGGGAAACGAUUGAAGUCAGUCGUGCUCUUUGGAUUCAGCCGGUUCUGCCGGUGUACUUCCUUUGAGUGGGGUCAACAUCAGUUUUGAUCGCUGGAUAAAGGCUGGAGGAACGUAGUACCCUCGGGUAAACUUAUAGCCUCCUGUCACAUACAGUGGUUGGGACUGAGGAACGCAGCACGCCUUUAUGGCCGGGAUUCGUCCACGUACGUGCUUAGGAUGUUGACAUAAUGGCUUUAAACGACCCGUCUUGAACAACGGGACCAC